rnacentral:rRNA from 1 species
GGACCGAACCGACUAAUGUUGAAAAAUUAGCGGAUGACUUGUGGCUGGGGGUGAAAGGCCAAUCAAACCGGGAGAUAGCUGGUUCUCCCCGAAAGCUAUUUAGGUAGCGCCUCGUGAAUUCAUCUUCGGGGGUAGAGCACUGUUUCGGCUAGGGGGUCAUCCCGACUUACCAACCCGAUGCAAACUACGAAUACCGAAGAAUGUUAUCACGGGAGACACACGGCGGGUGCUAACGUCCGUCGUGAAGAGGGAAACAACCCAGACCGCCAGCUAAGGUCCCAAAGUCAUGGUUAAGUGGGAAACGAUGUGGGAAGGCACAGACAGCCAGGAUGUUGGCUUAGAAGCAGCCAUCAUUUAAAGAAAGCGUAAUAGCUCACUGGUCGAGUCGGCCUGCGCGGAAGAUGUAACGGGGCUAAACCAUGCACCGAAGCUGCGGCAGCGACACUAUGUGUUGUUGGGUAGGGGAGCGUUCUGUAAGCCUGCGAAGGUGACCUGUGAGGGUUGCUGGAGGUAUCAGAAGUGCGAAUGCUGACAUAAGUAACGAUAAAGCGGGUGAAAAGCCCGCUCGCCGGAAGACCAAGGGUUCCUGUCCAACGUUAAUCGGGGCAGGGUGAGUCGACCCCUAAGGCGAGGCCGAAAGGCGUAGUCGAUGGGAAACAGGUUAAUAUUCCUGUACUUGGUGUUACUGCGAAGGGGGGACGGAGAAGGCUAUGUUAGCCGGGCGACGGUUGUCCCGGUUUAAGCAUGUAGGCUGGUUGUCCAGGCAAAUCCGGAUAAUCAAGGCUGAGGUGUGAUGACGAGGCACUACGGUGCUGAAGUAACAAAUGCCCUGCUUCCAGGAAAAGCCUCUAAGCAUCAGGUAACAUUAAAUCGUACCCCAAACCGACACAGGUGGUCAGGUAGAGAAUACCAAGGCGCUUGAGAGAACUCGGGUGAAGGAACUAGGCAAAAUGGUGCCGUAACUUCGGGAGAAGGCACGCUGGUGUGUAGGUGAAGUCCCUGCGGAUGGAGCUGAGACCAGUCGAAGAUACCAGCUGGCUGCAACUGUUUAUUAAAAACACAGCACUGUGCAAACACGAAAGUGGACGUAUACGGUGUGACGCCUGCCCGGUGCCGGAAGGUUAAUUGAUGGGGUUAUCCGUAAGGAGAAGCUCUUGAUCGAAGCCCCGGUAAACGGCGGCCGUAACUAUAACGGUCCUAAGGUAGCGAAAUUCCUUGUCGGGUAAGUUCCGACCUGCACGAAUGGCGUAAUGAUGGCCAGGCUGUCUCCACCCGAGACUCAGUGAAAUUGAACUCGCUGUGAAGAUGCAGUGUACCCGCGGCAAGACGGAAAGACCCCGUGAACCUUUACUAUAGCUUGACACUGAACAUUGAGCCUUGAUGUGUAGGAUAGGUGGGAGGCUUUGAAGCGUGGACGCCAGUCUGCGUGGAGCCAACCUUGAAAUACCACCCUUUAAUGUUUGAUGUUCUAACGUUGGCCCCUUACCGGGGUUGCGGACAGUGUCUGGUGGGUAGUUUGACUGGGGCGGUCUCCUCCCAAAGCGUAACGGAGGAGCACGAAGGUUAGCUAAUCCUGGUCGGACAUCAGGAGGUUAGUGCAAUGGCAUAAGCUAGCUUGACUGCGAGCGUGACGGCGCGAGCAGGUGCGAAAGCAGGUCAUAGUGAUCCGGUGGUUCUGAAUGGAAGGGCCAUCGCUCAACGGAUAAAAGGUACUCCGGGGAUAACAGGCUGAUACCGCCCAAGAGUUCAUAUCGACGGCGGUGUUUGGCACCUCGAUGUCGGCUCAUCACAUCCUGGGGCUGAAGUAGGUCCCAAGGGUAUGGCUGUUCGCCAUUUAAAGUGGUACGCGAGCUGGGUUUAGAACGUCGUGAGACAGUUCGGUCCCUAUCUGCCGUGGGCGCUGGAGAAUUGAGGGGGGCUGCUCCUAGUACGAGAGGACCGGAGUGGACGCAUCACUGGUGUUCGGGUUGUCAUGCCAAUGGCACUGCCCGGUAGCUAAAUGCGGAAGAGAUAAGUGCUGAAAGCAUCUAAGCACGAAACUUGCCCCGAGAUGAGUUCUCCCUGAGACUUUAAGUCUCCUGAAGGAACGUUAAAGACGAUGACGUUGAUAGGCCGGGUGUGUAAGCGCAGCGAUGCGUUGAGCUAACCGGUACUAAUGAACCGUGAGGCUUAACCUU